rnacentral:rRNA from 1 species
UACGUAGGGUGCAAGCGUUAAUCGGAAUUACUGGGCGUAAAGCGUGCGCAGGCGGUUUUGUAAGUCAGAUGUGAAAUCCCUCGGGCUUAACCUGGGAACUGCGUUUGAAACUACAAGGCUAGAGUGUGGCAGAGGGGGGUGGAAUUCCACGUGUAGCAGUGAAAUGCGUAGAGAUGUGGAGGAACACCGAUGGCGAAGGCAGCCCCCUGGGUUAACACUGACGCUCAGGCACGAAAGCGUGGGGAGCAAACAGG